rnacentral:rRNA from 1 species
UACAUGCAAGUCGAACGGAAACCUUCGGGUUUUAGUGGCGAACGGGUGAGUAACACGUAAGCAACCUACCCUAAAGACGAGGAUAACCAUUGGAAACAGUGGCUAAGACUGGAUAGGAAGAUAAAAGGCAUCUUGUAUCUUUUAAAAGACCUAGUUAAUAGGUAUGCUUUAGGAGGGGCUUGCGCCAUAUUAGUUAGUUGGUAGGGUAAUGGCCUACCAAGACGAUGAUGUGUAGCUGGACUGAGAGGUUGAACAGCCACAUUGGGACUGAGACACGGCCCAAACUCCUACGGGAGGCAGCAGUAGGGAAUUUUCGGCAAUGGAGGAAACUCUGACCGAGCAACGCCGCGUGAAUGACGAAGUACUUCGGUAUGUAAAGUUCUUUUAUCGAGGAAGAAAAGCAAAUGGCGAACCAUUUGUUUGCCGGUACUUGAUGAAUAAGCCCCGGCUAAUUAUGUGCCAGCAGCCGCGGUAAGACAUAAGGGGCAAGUGUUAUCCGGAAUUAUUGGGCGUAAAGGGUGCGUAGGCGGUCUAGUAAGUCAGUGGUGUAAUGGCAACGCUUAACGUUGUCCGGCUAUUGAAACUGCUAAACUUGAGUUAGAUAGAGGCGAGUGGAAUUCCAUGUGUAGCGGUAAAAUGCGUAAAUAUAUGGAGGAACACCAGAGGCGUAGGCGGCUCGCUGGGUCUUAACUGACGCUGAGGCACGAAAGCGUGGGGAGCAAACAGGAUUAGAUACCCUGGUAGUCCACGCCGUAAACGAUGAGUACUAAGUGUCGGGUUAAACCGGUACUGAAGUUAACACAUUAAGUACUCCGCCUGAGUAGUACGUACGCAAGUAUGAAACUUAAAGGAAUUGACGGGACUCCGCACAAGCGGUGGAUCAUGUUGUUUAAUUCGAAGAUACCCGAAAAACCUUACCAGGUCUUGACAUGUUUUUGCAAAAUGAUAGUAAUAUCGUGGAGGUUACCAGAAACACAGGUGGUGCAUGGUUGUCGUCAGCUCGUGUCGUGAGAUGUUAGGUUAAGUCCUAAAACGAGCGAAACCCUUAUCGUUAGUUGCCAGCACGUUAUGGUGGGGACUUUAACGAGACUGCCAAUGAUAAAUUGGAGGAAGGUGAGGAUCACGUCAAAUCAGCAUGCCCCUUAUGACCUGGGCUACAAACGUGAUACAAUGGCUGUUACAAAGGGUAGCUGAAACGCAAGUUCUUGGCCAAUCCCCAAAAACAGUCCCAGUCCGGAUUGAAGUCUGCAACUCGACUUCAUGAAGUUGGAAUCGCUAGUAAUCGCGAAUCAGCAUGUCGCGGUGAAUACGUUCUCGGGGUUUGUACACACCGCCCGUCAAACCACGAAAGUUGGCAAUACCCCAAAACGGUAGCCUAACUCGUUUAUUCGAGAGGGCGCCGUCUAAGGUAGGGUCGAUGAUUGGGGUUAAGUCGUAACAAGGUAUCCCUACCGGAAGGUGGGGAUGGAUCACCUCCUUUCUAAGGAAACCAAUAAAAUCAAUCAUCUUCAGUUUUGAAAGACUUAGGCAACUAAGUUUUUCUUCGUGACUUCACGAAGGGCCUAUAGCUCAGUUGGUUAGAGCACACGCCUGAUAAGCGUGAGGUCGGUGGUUCAAGUCCAUUUAGGCCCACCAGAGUUAUAGGUUUCGUAAGAACACAAAUUCUUUGAAAAUUAGGUAAAUAAUAGUUAUUUAUCCGGAACAUUAAAGGAAAUAAGAGCGCACAGUGGAUGCCUAGGCACCA